rnacentral:misc_RNA from 1 species
GUAGGUGAACCUGCGGAAGGAUCAUUACCGAGCUCACGCCCUCGCGGCGAGACCUCCCACCCUUGCGUAUCCAUACCACGUUGCUUUGGCAGGUUGCUCGCCCCCAGGGGGAGCCUCGGCGCCUUGGGCCCGAGAGUCGCCUGCCGGAGGAAGCCCCAACCCUGAGUUAUUAGUGUCGUCUGAGUACUAUGUCACAAUAGUUAAAACUUUCAACAACGGAUCUCUUGGCUCUG